AUGCACCCAAUAGUCAUUGGCUUUAUAGUCCUUUGCUUCCUGAGUGCAGGCUCCUUUGAUGCUGAAGUCACCCAGACGCCAAGACAUCUGCUCAAAGGGAAAGGACAAAAAGUGAAAAUGGACUGUGUUCCGAUAAAAGGACACAGUUAUGUUUAUUGGUAUCAGCAGAUCCCAGCCAAAGAGUUCAAGUUCUUGAUUUCAUUUCAGAACGAAAAGAUCUUUGAUGGAAAUGAGAUGCCCAAGGAGAGAUUUUCAGCUGAGUGCCCCCAAGACUCAGCCUGCAGCCUGGAGAUCCAGCCGGCAGGGCUACAGGACUCGGCCAUGUAUUUCUGUGCCAGCAGGGUGUCCACAGUGUGA